rnacentral:rRNA from 1 species
UACAGAGGUCUCAAGCGUUGUUCGGAUUCAUUGGGCGUAAAGGGUGCGUAGGUGGCGCCGUAAGUCAGGUGUGAAAUUUCGGAGCUUAACUCCGAAACUGCAUUUGAUACUGCGGUGCUUGAGGACUGGGAGAGGAGACUGGAAUUCACGGUGUAGCAGUGAAAUGCGUAGAUAUCGUGAAGGAAGACCAGUGGCGAAGGCGGGUCUCUGGACAGUUCCUGACACUGAGGCAGCGAAGGCCAGGGGAGCAAAACGGG